rnacentral:rRNA from 1 species
UGGGGAAUUGUUCGCAAUGGGCGCAAGCCUGACGACGCAACGCCGCGUGGAGGAUGAAGGUCUUCGGAUUGUAAACUCCUGUUGAUCGGGAAGAACUCCUUCGGGGCCAAUACCCCUGGAGGGUGACGGUACCGGUUGAGGAAGCCCCGGCUAACUCUGUGCCAGCAGCCGCGGUAAUACAGAGGGGGCGAGCGUUGUUCGGAAUUACUGGGCGUAAAGGGCGCGUAGGCGGCCAACUAAGUCGGACGUGAAAUCCCUCGGCUCAACCGGGGAACUGCGUCCGAUACUGGCUGACUUGAAUCCGGGAGAGGGAUGUGGAAUUCCAGGUGUAGCGGUGAAAUGCGUAGAUAUCUGGAGGAACACCGGUGGCGAAGGCGGCAUCCUGGACCGGCAUUGACGCUGAGGCGCGAAAGCCAGGGGAGCAAACGGGAUUAGAUACCCCGGUAGUCCUGGCCCUAAACGAUGAGUGCUUGGUGUGGCGGGUAUCGAUCCCUGCCGUGCCG